GAUGAACGCUGGCGGCGUGCCUAAUACAUGCAAGUCGAGCGAACAGAUGAGAAGCUUGCUUCUCUGAUGUUAGCGGCGGACGGGUGAGUAACACGUGGGUAACCUACCUAUAAGACUGGGAUAACUCCGGGAAACCGGGGCUAAUACCGGAUAAUAUUUUGAACCGCAUGGUUCAAUAGUGAAAGACGGUUUCGGCUGUCACUUAUAGAUGGACCAGCGCCGUAUUAGCUAGUUGGUAAGGUAACGGCUUACCAAGGCGACGAUACGUAGCCGACCUGAGAGGGUGAUCGGCCACACUGGAACUGAGACACGGUCCAGACUCCUACGGGAGGCAGCAGUAGGGAAUCUUCCGCAAUGGGCGAAAGCCUGACGGAGCAACGCCGCGUGAGUGAUGAAGGUCUUCGGAUCGUAAAACUCUGUUGUUAGGGAAGAACAAAUUUGUUAGUAACUGAACAAGUCUUGACGGUACCUAACCAGAAAGCUACGGCUAACUACGUGCCAGCCGCCGCGGUAA
rnacentral:rRNA from 1 species